rnacentral:rRNA from 1 species
UACGUAGGGUGCAAGCGUUGUCCGGAAUUAUUGGGCGUAAAGAGCUCGUAGGCGGUUUGUCGCGUCUGCUGUGAAAACCCGAGGCUCAACCUCGGGCCUGCAGUGGGUACGGGCAGACUAGAGUGCGGUAGGGGAGAUUGGAAUUCCUGGUGUAGCGGUGGAAUGCGCAGAUAUCAGGAGGAACACCGGUGGAGAAGGCGGAUCUCUGGGCCAUUACUGACGCUGAGGAGCGAAAGCGUGGGGAGCGAACAGG